rnacentral:rRNA from 1 species
UACGUAGGGUGCGAGCGUUAAUCGGAAUUACUGGGCGUAAAGCGCGCGCAGGUGGCGCUGUAAGACAGAUGUGAAAUCCCCGGGCUUAACCUGGGAACUGCAUUUGUGACUGCAGUGCUAGAGUGUGUCAGAGGGGGGUGGAAUUCCACGUGUAGCAGUGAAAUGCGUAGAGAUGUGGAGGAACACCGAUGGCGAAGGCAGCCCCCUGGGAUAACACUGACGCUCAGGCACGAAAGCGUGGGGAGCAAACAGGA